CAACACAUACGGCCUAGUUCCGAUAUUCUCGGAAGCGGGGGAACCAAUCUUUUGGGGUUAAUCCUGAGUGAUCAGGAGGGAUGAGGAAAUGUCUUCUCUGCCAUCCUACCCGUCAGCUAACCUCGUCGGCCAAAGCAGGGAAGGUCA
rnacentral:sRNA from 2 species